GACGAACGCUGGCGGCGUGCUUAACACAUGCAAGUCGAACGGAAAGGCCCUGCUUUUGUGGGGUGCUCGAGUGGCGAACGGGUGAGUAACACGUGAGUAACCUGCCCUUGACUUUGGGAUAACUUCAGGAAACUGGGGCUAAUACCGGAUAGGAGCUCCUGCUGCAUGGUGGGGGUUGGAAAGUUUCGGCGGUUGGGGAUGGACUCGCGGCUUAUCAGCUUGUUGGUGGGGUAGUGGCUUACCAAGGCUUUGACGGGUAGCCGGCCUGAGAGGGUGACCGGCCACAUUGGGACUGAGGUACGGCCCAGACUCCUACGGGAGGCAGCAGUGGGGAAUAUUGCACAAUGGGCGGAAGCCUGAUGCAGCAACGCCGCGUGCGGGAUGACGGCCUUCGGGUUGUAAACCGCUUUCGCCUGUGACGAAGCGUGAGUGACGGUAAUGGGUAAAGAAGCACCGGCUAACUACGUGCCAGCAGCCGCGGUGAUACGUAGGGUGCGAGCGUUGUCCGGAUUUAUUGGGCGUAAAGGGCUCGUAGGUGGUUGAUCGCGUCGGAAGUGUAAUCUUGGGGCUUAACCCUGAGCGUGCUUUCGAUACGGGUUGACUUGAGGAAGGUAGGGGAGAAUGGAAUUCCUGGUGGGGCGGUGGAAUGCGCAGAUAUCAGGAGGAACACCAGUGGCGAAGGCGGUUCUCUGGGCCUUUCCUGACGCUGAGGAGCGAAAGCGUGGGGAGCGAACAGGCUUAGAUACCCUGGUAGUCCACGCUGUAAACGGUGGGUACUAGGUGUGGGGUCCAUUCCACGGGUUCCGUGCCGUAGCUAACGCUUUAAGUACCCCGCCUGGGGAGUACGGCCGCAAGGCUAAAACUCAAAGGAAUUGACGGGGCCCCGCACAAGCGGCGGAGCAUGCGGAUUAAUUCGAUGCAACGCGUAGAACCUUACCUGGGUUUGACAUGGAUCGGGAGUGCUCAGAGAUGGGUGUGCCUCUUUUGGGGUCGGUUCACAGGUGGUGCAUGGCUGUCGUCAGCUCGUGUCGUGAGAUGUUGGGUUAAGUCCCGCAACGAGCGCAACCCUUGUUCACUGUUGCCAGCACGUUAUGGUGGGGACUCAGUGGAGACCGCCGGGGUCAACUCGGAGGAAGGUGGGGAUGACGUCAAGUCAUCAUGCCCCUUAUGUCCAGGGCUUCACGCAUGCUACAAUGGCUGGUACAGAGAGUGGCGAGCCUGUGAGGGUGAGCGAAUCUCGGAAAGCCGGUCUCAGUUCGGAUUGGGGUCUGCAACUCGACCUCAUGAAGUCGGAGUCGCUAGUAAUCGCAGAUCAGCAACGCUGCGGUGAAUACGUUCCCGGG
rnacentral:rRNA from 1 species